rnacentral:rRNA from 1 species
GACGAACGCUGGCGGCGUGCCUAAUACAUGCAAGUAGAACGCUGAAGAGAGGAGCUUGCUCUGCUUGGAUGAGGUGCGAACGGGUGAGUAACGCGUAGGUAACCUGCCUUGUAGCGGGGGAAAACUAUGGGAAACGAUAGCUAAUACCGCAUAACAAUGGAUGACACAUGUCAUUUAUAUGAAAGGGGCAAUUGCUACACUACAAGAUGGACCUGCGUUUUAUGAGCUAGUAGGUGAGGUAAUGGCUCACCUAGGCGACGAUACAUAGCCGACCUGUGAGGGUGUUCGGCCACACUGGGACUGUGACACGGCACAGACUCCUACGGGAGGCAGCAGUAGGGAAUCGUCGGCAAUGGGGGCAACACUGACCGAGCAACGCCGCGUGAGUGCAGAAGGUUUUCGGGUCGUAAAGCUCUGUUGUAAGUCAAGAACGGGUGUGAGAGUGGAAAGUUCACUCUGUGACGGUAGCUUACCAGAAAGGGACGGCUAACUACGUG